rnacentral:rRNA from 1 species
CCUACGGGCGGCAGCAGUGAGGAAUAUUGGUCAAUGGACGCGAGCCUGAACCAGCCAAGUAGCGUGAAGGAUGACUGCCCUCCGGGUUGUAAACUUCUUUUAUAAAGGAAUAAAGUGAGGCACGUGUGCCUUUUUUUAUGUAUUUCAUGAAUAAGGAUAGGCUAACUCCGUGCCAGCAGCCGCGGUAAUACGGAGGAUCCGAGCGUUUUCCGGAUUUAUUGGGUUUAAAGGGAGCGUAGAUGGUUUGUUAAGUCAGUUGUGAAAGUUUGCGGCUCAACCGUAAAAUUGCAAUUGAUACUGGCAGUCUUGAGUACAGUUGGGGUAGGCGGAAUUCGUGGUGUAGCGGUGAAAUGCUUAGAUAUCACGAAGAACUCCGAUUGCGAAGGCAGCUUACUAAGCUGCCACUGACAUUGAUGCUCGAAAGUGUGGGUAUCAAACAGGAUUAGAUACCCGAGUAGUC